rnacentral:rRNA from 1 species
ACAGGUGCUGCAUGGCUGUCGUCAGCUCGUGUCGUGAGAUGUUGGGUUAAGUCCCGUAACGAGCGCAACCCUUGUCCUUAGUUACCAGCACGUUAUGUGGGCACUCUAAGGAGACUGCCGGUGACAAACCGGAGGAAGGUGGGGAGUGACGUCAAGUCAUCAUGGCCCUUGCGGCCUGGGCUACACACGUGCUACAAUGGUCGGUACAAAGGGUUGCCAAGCCGCGAGGUGGAGCUAAUCCCAUAAAACCGAUCGUAGUCCGGAUCGCAGUCUGCAACUCGACUGCGUGAAGUCGGAAUCGCUAGUAAUCGUGAAUCAGAAUGUCACGGUGAAUACGUUCCCGGGCCUU